UACAGAGGUCUCAAGCGUUGUUCGGAUUCAUUGGGCGUAAAGGGUGCGUAGGCGGCGCGGUAAGUCGGGUGUGAAAUUUCGAGGCUUAACUUCGAAACUGCAUUCGAUACUGCCGUGCUAGAGGACUGGAGAGGAGACUGGAAUUUACGGUGUAGCGGUGAAAUGCGUAGAUAUCAGGAGGAACACCCAUGGCGAAGGCAGUUCACUGGCAGUCUCCUGACGCUGAGGCGCGAAAGCGUGGGUAGCAAACAGG
rnacentral:rRNA from 1 species